AAAGCCCAAUUUAAUGGGCAUAUACAGUUUAUUAAAAAAAAAAUCAAUUGUUUUUUCUCAGAAGAUGGUGAUGCGAGGACAGCCGCCCUUGUCUACUCGCCGCCUGAUUCGUUGCGUGGAAAACCUCAAUCUAAAUCCAAUUGACGCAGGAUCAACGACUUCUUCGGUUUGGAUGACAAGCUUUUCGACGUGCACCUUUUGGUUAAAGUCGUGGUAUGUUGAUGAAAAUGGUAUGUGAUAAUUACAAUGCUGGUUCAGUGAUGUAAACGGUUUUAAACAAUUGAGGAAUCUAUAUUAAUGGAGUUAUGUUUCUUUCUCCACUGCCAUUUGCCUCUCAUUUUGGAUAUACUCAUGCUGUGUAUUGUGUAAUAGUAAGCUUUAAUUUCAAUGAAUUUUGCAUAGUUCAUGCGAUAAAUUGAUUUGAUUGGAAGAUUGACAUAGAGAGUGGGUUCUCAUUGGGGGAUGGCUUGUGCCUUGAGCAUGAAACAUCAACAUCACCGCAUUAGGAUUGGUAAAGCAUGUAACUUUGCUUUAUUGGUUACUAUCCAUUUGUUUGCAAAAGGCAUGUGUGCUUGUUUAGCAACCUCAAGGUCCGUUGCGACUAUAAGAACAUACUUAUAAACUGACCAAAGCGCUGGACAAACUUCCUGAGUACCUUGUCCUAGGUUAAGAACUAUUGCUGCACUACUAAGGUCACUAAAUCUUGAAGCUUUGUUAGAAACACAAGUUAACCUUUACUCUAGUGGUAAGGCUGACACCAGAGGAAACCCAACUGGAUGGUGUUAUGAUUCGUUGUUGAUUCGGUGUAAGAUGAAAUUUUAGAUGUGUCAUUGUAUGCUUAGAUGCCAGGUUACUACCUCUAUCCUCAUCCCAACUCUGGUUUUCGUUGCAGAAAAAAAUGUUUUUUACUCCGUACUUGUUUAGAUCAUUGCUUUGGUUUCAUGUUUGGUUGUUAAUGAAUUUUUUUAUAACUCGAUAGGAAAUAGUUUGUUUGAUUAAGUUGUGAAAUUAGUUGUAAUAGAACAGUGUAUAGAAGCCAAAGAUAAUUUAAGUUGGAAUUUAAAUUCCAUUCAUCUAUAAGAGCUGCAUUUUUUGUUGUGCUAUCAAAACAGCAUGUUCAGUUGAAAACAUUGAGAUCGAACUAAAAUCUUGAUUUCAGCUUAUAGGGCAUGAGUAACGGGUAGAAAAAUGGGGUGCAGACUCCAGCACCCUGCGUUGCAGGGGGCAAGGGAGAGGUGUGAGACCGGGUGCGGGGAGGGGCAGGAUGGCUUGAGAGAGAGGGAAGAAGUCAUGGCUUACGGCUACUUCUUUGUGUUUGUCGAAAAGGGAAGUGGUGAAGAUAGAAGGAGAUAUAUUUCUAAAGUUUUUAUUCCAGUCGCCGGAUAAGUGUAAUGCCAAAAUAUUUUAUAUGCGUAUGGUAUUCAAUCCUAUUUCUAAUUCUACUAUAUUUUUAUAUA